rnacentral:misc_RNA from 1 species
AAAUGCGAUAAGUAGUGUGAAUUGCAGAAUUCAGUGAAUCAUCGAAUCUUUGAACGCACAUUGCGCCCCUUGGUAUUCCAUGGGGCAUGCCUGUUCGAGCGUCAUCUACACCCUCAAGCUCUGCUUGGUGUUGGGCGUCUUUGUCCCGCCUCCGCGCGCGGACUCGCCCCAAAUUCAUUGGCAGCGGUCCUUGCCUCCUCUCGCGCAGCACAUUGCGCUUCUCGAGGUGUUGUGGCCCGCGUCCAGAAAGCAAUCGUUACCGUCUUUGACCUCGGAUCAGGUAGGGAUACCCGCUGAACUUAAGC